rnacentral:rRNA from 1 species
GAUGAACGCUGGCGGCGUGCCUAAUACAUGCAAGUCGAGCGAACAGAUGAGGAGCUUGCUCCUCUGACGUUAGCGGCGGACGGGUGAGUAACACGUGGAUAACCUACCUAUAAGACUGGGAUAACUUCGGGAAACCGGAGCUAGUACCGGAUAAUAUAUUGAACCGCAUGGUUCAAUAGUGAAAGACGGUUUUGCUGUCACUUAUAGAUGGAUCCGCGCCGCAUUAGCUAGUUGGUAAGGUAACGGCUUACCAAGGCAACGAUGCGUAGCCGACCUGAGAGGGUGAUCGGCCACACUGGAACUGAGACACGGUCCAGACUCCUACGGGAGGCAGCAGUAGGGAAUCUUCCGCAAUGGGCGAAAGCUUGACGGAGCAACGCCGCGUGAGUGAUGAAGGUCUUCGGAUCGUAAAACUCUGUUAUUAGGGAAGAACAAAUGUGUAAGUAACUAUGCACGUCUUGACGGUACCUAAUCAGAAAGCCACGGCUAACUACGU